GAUGAAGAACGUAGCGAAAUGCGAUAAGUAAUGUGAAUUGCAGAAUUCAGUGAAUCAUCGAAUCUUUGAACGCACAUUGCGCCCCUUGGUAUUCCGAGGGGCAUGCCUGUUCGAGCGUCAUUAUAACCCUCAAGCUCAGCUUGGUGUUGGGGCCUGCUGCACUGGCAGCCCUUAAAAUCAGUGGCGGCGCCAUCUGGCUCUAAGCGUAGUAAUUCUUCUCGCUAUGGAGUCCUGGUGGAUGCUUGCCAUCAACCCCCAAUUUUUCUAUGGUUGACCUCGGAUCAGAUAGGGAUACCCGCUGAACUUAAGCAUAUCAAUAAGCGGAGGA
rnacentral:misc_RNA from 1 species